UUCAGGGGUGAGUAACGCGUGAGAAUCUGCCCUCAGGAGGGGGAUAACGGCUGGAAACGGCCGCUAAUACCCCAUAUGCCGAGAGGUGAAAUGAAAUUCGCCUGAGGAUGAGCUCGCGUCUGAUUAGCUAGUUGGUGGGGUAAGGGCCUACCAAGGCUUCGAUCAGUAGCUGGUCUGAGAGGAUGAUCAGCCACACUGGGACUGAGACACGGCCCAGACUCCUACGGGAGGCAGCAGUGAGGAAUUUUCCGCAAUGGGCGACAGCCUGACGGAGCAAUGCCGCGUGAAGGAAUAAGGCCUACGGGUUGUAAACUUCUUUUCCUAGAGAAGAAGCCAUGACGGUAUCUAGGGAAUAAGCAUCGGCUAACUCUGUGCCAGCAGCCGCGGUAAGACAGAGGAUGCAAGCGUUAUCCGGAAUGAUUGGGCGUAAAGCGUAUGUAGGUGGCUUAGCAAGUCUACUGUUAAAGCCCAGAGCUUAACUCUGGUUAAGCCGUAGAAACUGCUAAGCUUGAGUACGGUAGAAGCAAAGGGAAUUUCCGGUGGAGCGGUGAAAUGCGUUGAUAUCGGAAAGAACACCAAAGGCGAAGGCACUUUGCUAGGCCGAAACUGACACUAAGAUACGAAAGCUAGGGGAGUGAAUGGGAUUAGAUACCCCAGUAGCC
rnacentral:rRNA from 1 species